UUCUCCUACGGGACGCAGCAGUGGGGAAUAUUGCGCAAUGGGCGAAAGCCUGACGCAGCGACGCCGCGUGAGGGAUGAAGGUCUUCGGAUCGUAAACCUCUGUCAGGAGGGAAGAAGUGGUUAUAUGCGAAUAGUGUAUGACUUUGACGGUACCUCCAAAGGAAGCACCGGCUAACUCCGUGCCAGCAGCCGCGGUAAUACGGAGGGUGCGAGCGUUAAUCGGAAUCACUGGGCGUAAAGCGCGCGUAGGCGGGAGUGCAAGUCAGAUGUGAAAACUAUGGGCUCAACCCAUAGCCUGCAUUUGA
rnacentral:rRNA from 1 species